AAUCGAAGAGUUAGGAUUGAAACAACGAAAGCGAGGCCAAGGUACAGAAAAGUAAGAAGAUCGAUCUUAAGAGCAGCAACGCAGCAUACCAUCAUUAGGGGAUCAAAUCAGAAGUAAACAACAAAUGGAGAAAAGAAUU